rnacentral:rRNA from 1 species
UGAGGAACAUGACCUUCGGCGGGGGAUAGCCGGCCCAACGGCCGGGUAAUACCGCGUACGACCACAUGGGGACAUCCCUGAGUGGUGAAAGCAGCAAUGCGCCGAUGGAGUGCCUCGCGGCCUAUCAGCUAGUUGGUGAGGUAACGGCUCACCAAGGCGACGACGGGUAGCUGGUCUGAGAGGAUGGCCAGCCANAUUGGGACUGAGACACGGCCCAGACCUGUACCGGGGAGG